AAUCAACGCUGGCGGCGUGCCUAACACAUGCAAGUCGAACGAGAAAGUGUAGCAAUACAUGAGUACAGUGGCGACCGGGUGAGUAACACGUGACUAACCUACCCUCUUGUGGGGAAUAACCUUCCGAAAGGAGGGCUAAUACCGCAUAACAUCGCGAGGUGAGAUUCCUUGUGAUCAAAGGAGCAAUUCGCAGGAGGAGGGGGUCGCGGCUGAUUAGCUAGUUGGUGAGGUAAUGGCUCACCAAGGCAGUGAUCAGUAUCCGGCCUGAGAGGGCGCACGGACACACUAGAACUGAAACACGGUCCAGACUCCUACGGGAGGCAGCAGUGGGGAAUUUUGCGCAAUGGGGGAAACCCUGACGCAGCAACGCCGCGUGGAGGAUGAAGGUCUUUGGAUUGUAAACUCCUUUCGAUCGGGACGAUGAUGACGGUACCGGAAGAAGAAGCACCGGCUAACUCUGUGCCAGCCGCCGCGGUAAGAC
rnacentral:rRNA from 1 species